rnacentral:tRNA from 1 species
AGCAGUGUGGUCUAGUGGAAAGAGCAUAGGCCUGGAGUCAGAGGACCUGGGUUCUAAUCCCAGCUCUGCCA